rnacentral:rRNA from 1 species
AUUGAACGCUGGCGGCAGGCCUAACACAUGCAAGUCGAGCGGGGUUUUCGGACCUAGCGGCGGACGGGUGAGUAAUGCGUAGGAAGCUACCCGAUAGAGGGGGAUACCAGUUGGAAACGACUGUUAAUACCGCAUAAUGUCUACGGACCAAAGUGUGGGACCUUCGGGCCACAUGCUAUCGGAUGCGCCUACGUGGGAUUAGCUAGUUGGUGAGGUAAUGGCUCACCAAGGCGACGAUCCGUAACUGGUCUGAGAGGAUGAUCAGUCACACUGGAACUGAGACACGGUCCAGACUCCUACGGGAGGCAGCAGUGGGGAAUAUUGGACAAUGGGCGAAAGCCUGAUCCAGCCAUGCCGCGUGUGUGAAGAAGGUCCUUCGGAUUGUAAAGCACUUUAAGUUGGGAGAAGGGUACCACUAGAAUAAGCACCGGCUAACUCCGUGCCAG